UGGUAACUGGUGGUACAAGCGGAAAGGGGGGUGAUUCUACGCGAAAAAAGAAGCCGAAAAUAUAGAAUAAAAAUUUUUCGUUCGAUGCUUUGUUUUCGAGAAAAUCGACUUUGAUUUUUCGCCCGGUACGCGUGCACUUUAUCACGUCUCGUUAUAACCGAUCUCACUGUAGAUUUAAAAAAAAAUUAAAAAAAAAAAUUUUUA